rnacentral:SRP_RNA from 1 species
GCUGAGUGUGGUGGCGCAUGCCUGUAAUCUUAGCUACUUGGGAGGCUGAGGCAGGAGAAUUGCUCGAGCCCAGGAGUUGCGGCUGCAAUGAGCUCAGAUGAUGACAUUGCACUAUAACCUGGGCAACAGAGCAAGAUUCUGUCUCUA